AUUUUACAGAUGAGGAAACUGAGCCUCUGACCUGGGGUCUCUUUGUCUUCGGGCGGAGGGCACUGGAGCUGGAACUGGCCCUGACUGGGUGAGUGGUGCCCCAGCCCCCAAUCUCCAGGGUUGUCAAACUGACUGGGGGGAGUCCUGGAAGGACUCGAGGCUGCUGCCCCCUGACAUCUGGUCUCAGACAGGCCCGCUGGGACUGGGACCCUCCCUGGUUGUCCUAAUGGGGGACCUGUGUACGAAUGGGUGAGUGUGUGUCCCCUGGUCCCUCCAGAAAACGGGGUCUGGGAUGAUUGCUAGAGAAGAUGGGAUGAAGUCUCUGGUUCUGUUUAUUUAUUUUAGUACCAGGGAUCGAACUCAGGACCUUGUGCUUGUGAGGCAGGUGGCAGAACCACUGAGCUACAUCCCUGAUGUCUCUGGUUUUAUUUUCCAAAUGAAAAACUCCACUUCUCGAAGUGAACAUGGAAGCAGCAAGUGGAAAUUCCCAUGCUGCAGGUAGCAGGCAAGAUAAGAAACGCAGCUUGAGUGUGAGCUUGAAGUGUUUGAAGUGAUUAGGUUUGCAGUGAGAUCAUACUAAGUGUGUUAAGAGUGUGACAAGCUAGAGUGAAGUCAUUACAACCUGCUUGGAGUGAUAGCAAUGUGUGAAACGUGUGAUAAUGACAAGAAGAGGUAUAAAAGACCCCAGGAACAGACCGACAUCGUCCGCCCUUGACCCGUCAAGUGGACCCGCCGAAGCUCUGCCCGAGACGCAGACACUCUGGCGGAGACGCUCUCCCGUUCGAGACGUCAGAUGCUGGAGUACAUCAUGAGACCCUGAAGCACUUCGCAGCGCGACCCUGCCGCGUCCAACACCGCAGACGCCACGGACUCAGGUCGUAUACCGGAACUCUUUCCCGCAAUGACCCUAGCCUAACCU
rnacentral:lncRNA from 1 species